rnacentral:lncRNA from 1 species
GAGCAAUACAGCCUCUUCCCUUUCCUCAUCGUAGCUACCCAGGAAGGCAUCGAGCUUGAGGAAGAGGCCCCAUUCAUCUCCGUACCCCAGGCCCUGGUACACAGCAGGCAGCUCCAGGCGGGCACGCAUCUUUGUUGUGUUCUCUGCUGACUAUAUCCUCAGCACCUAGAACUGUGUCUGUCACCUAAUAGAUGCUCAAUAAACCUGCCAGUAAUUUCAGCAAAUGAAACGUGGAACACGUCAAGGCCAGAGGAUGGAAAAGGCUCCAGUUUUGAUAAAAGGAGGCCUGCUUGGCUUGGAAUCCUCUCUCCUGCUGGUUGGGAGAUGCAAAGAUGUUUCCAGAGAGGGGCUGAUGAAUUGAGGGGAAAGAAAUGAGCCCAGUAUGAGUCCCCUUUCAGGGCUGAGCGUGUAUAAAACCAAACAACUUGGAACCGCUCCAAGAGAGGGGAUUAAAGCAACAUGUUAUUCUGAGUGA